GCGGCAUGCUUUAUACAUGCAAGUCGAACGCGAAAGUGUCUUCGGACAUUAGUAGAGUGGCAAACGGGUGAGUAACGCGUGGGAAUAUACCUUAUAGUACGGAAUAGCCUCGGGAAACUGGGAUUAAUACCGUAUACGCCCUGAGGGGGAAAGAUUUAUCGCUAUAAGAUUAGCCCGCGUCAGAUUAGCUAGUUGGUGGGGUAAUGGCCUACCAAGGCAACGAUCUGUAGCUGGUCUGAGAGGAUGAUCAGCCACAUUGGGACUGAGAUACGGCCCAAACUCCUACGGGAGGCAGCAGUAGGGAAUAUUGGACAAUGGACGAAAGUCUGAUCCAGCAAUGCCGCGUGAGUGAUGAAGGCCUUAGGGUUGUAAAGCUCUUUUAGUGGGGAAGAUAAUGACGGUACCCACAGAAAAAGCACCGGCUAACUUCGUGCCAGCAGCCGCCGUAA
rnacentral:rRNA from 1 species